rnacentral:RNase_P_RNA from 1 species
GGAGUUGGCCAGACAGCCGCUGCCCGACCACGUUCGCGUGGUCGAGUGGAGGAAAGUCCGGGCUCCGCAGGGCAGGGUGCCAGGUAACGCCUGGGCGGCGCGAGCCGAUGGAAAGCGCCACAGAAAAUACACCGCCUAAGUCCGAAAGGGCCGGCAAGGGUGAAAUGGUGCGGUAAGAGCGCACCGCGCGGGUGGCAACAUCCCGUGGCAGGGCAAGCCCCACCCGGAGUAAGGCCAAAUAGGGGAACGAUAGUGCUGCCCGCACUGUUCCCGGGUAGGCCGCAUGAGGCGUGUGGCGACACACGUCCCAGAUGAAUGGCUGUCCACGACAGAACCCGGCUUAUCGGCCGACUCCUUUU